ensembl:lncRNA
GGCGUGUGACCUGAAUGCAAAAGCUAAAGGUGACUGGAUCCAUGUUUGGGUGAAGAAAGAGAAGAUGUACAUUUCUGACAUCAAGGCAACUGCCUUUUUUUGAAUUUGAUCACAAGUAUUUUUCCCAGGGCUACACCCGUGUGGAUGAAGAUGUGAAUCGAGAUGCAGGAGAACGCUCUAUCUUUCUUUGGUAUCGUCAUUCUCUAACACAGUCCCAAAGCAUCAAUCUCCUGGAUGUCUCCACUAACAAUGAGGAAGAGGAAAUCCUUCAGAUACAGGGUUAUACCUGUGUUGGUGUUAAUCUCAAUGAAGGAACAGGAGGCCCCCCGAUAAAUGCCUGGUACAAGAAGGGUUCAGACCAUGCCAUCCAGACCAUCACUGUAAUCAUUCAACAAGAAGUGAGUCCUUAUGAAAAGGCUGGCAUCCAUGUCAUUGGAAAAAAUCUGAAUACAGACAACAAUGGCACCCCCUUGUACCUGGCAUACCCAUGAGAUCAGGGGUUUAAUUUCUGUAUGCCAGGUGAUCAGUAUACCUGUCAAAUUAGCAUAGCAAUACAUAGCUUAGUACAAGAUAGCACAACAACACAAAUACCAUGUAACAUGUUAAAGCAAACCUGUGGAUCAAGUCAGUUUAACACAGUCUUCAUGCAUUUCUUGCAUUUAAUCUUCUAAACAGAUUGUAUUUGAGAUAUCUAUAUUGUUGUUGUUGUUACUGCUUAUGCCUUUUGUGAUAUGGGUCAACAUGAAUUACUUUGCUAACAAAUAAAAAAAAGUUCCAUAUCAAUAAUCAUUGUCAGUCUUUUUUCUCCUAGCCUGAUCAAUGACAACUCAACAGAUGGAAACAGGGACAGUUCACUUUAUACAGCCCUAAUGUUGCACCACCUUGUGGAAGUUAGAUUAAUUACUGCAAAAACAGUUACUGUAGUGUUCAAACAUAAUUCUCCC